rnacentral:misc_RNA from 1 species
ACACCUCAACUCUCAUGGUCUUCCAUGACGAGCUUGGACUUUGGAGGUUUGCUGGCCCUGCGGCCGGCUCCUCUCAAACAAAUCAGCUUGCCAGUGUUUGGCGGCAUCUCACGGGUGUGAUAACUAUCUACGCUCGCGGUUGUCUGCCAGGUAACCCUCAGCGAUGAAGGUUCAUUGGGGCUCAUAAACGUCUCUCCUCGGCGAGGACAACUUCUUGAAU